UCCAUCAGGCUUUGCUUGGUGGUGAGAGUGGCGAACGGGUGAGUAAUGCGUGACCGACCUGCCCCAUACACCGGAAUAGCUCCUGGAAACGGGUGGUAAUGCCGGAUGCUCCGACUCCUCGCAUGGGGUGUCGGGAAAGAUUUCAUCGGUAUGGGAUGGGGUCGCGUCCUAUCAGGUAGUCGGCGGGGUAACGGCCCACCGAGCCUACGACGGGUAGCCGGCCUGAGAGGGCGACCGGCCACAUUGGGACUGAGAUACGGCCCAGACUCCUACGGGAGGCAGCAGUGGGGAAUAUUGCACAAUGGGCGCAAGCCUGAUGCAGCGACGCCGCGUGCGGGAAUGACGGCCUUCGGGUUGUAAACCGCUUUUGAUCGGGAGCAAGCCUUCGGGUGAGUGUACCUUUCGAAUAAGCACCGGCUAACUACGUGCCAGCAGCCGCGGUAAUACGUAGGGUGCAAGCGUUAUCCGGAAUUAUUGGGCGUAAAGGGCUCGUAGGCGGUUCGUCGCGUCCGGUGUGAAAGUCCAUCGCUUAACGGUGGAUCUGCGCCGGGUACGGGCGGGC
rnacentral:rRNA from 1 species